UUACUAGAGUACUAUGAAUAGUUGUAAAUUUAAAACUCAAAGAACUUGGCGGUGUUUUAGACCAUUUAGGGGAACCUGUCUCAUAAUCGACAAUCCACGUUGUACCUGACCCUUCUUUGUUUUUUUCAGUUUGUAUACCGUUGUCGUCAGGUAACUUUUUAGAAAAUAGAAGUUGGCUGGAAAAAUAAAGAUGAUUUAAUACGUCAGAUCAAGGUGCAGCUAAUAGAAGGGGGAGGAUGGGUUACAAUUAUAUAUUUAUAAAUACGGAUGAUUAUGUGUAAGCGUGAUUUGUGAAGGCGGACUUAAAAGUAAAUUAGAUUAUAAGAAUAACUUGAAUAAGGCUCUGAAACGUGU
rnacentral:rRNA from 1 species